AGUCAAGAGUCUUUGGCGCUGUUUUGGCGAGCAGAUUCCUUUUGCCUUCGUGAAGGGCUGAAGAGAUG
rfam:Agrobacterium vitis S4 plasmid pAtS4a, complete sequence.